AUUGAAUUAGUAUUAAGCUAAGAUGAAUGUACCUAUGAAUAAUCUGAAGAGAAUCACUUGCAUUGGAUACGACAUGUGGUGGCCUUCAUCCGUGGAUUGUUAUGAGGCUCUGUUCCACUUGUUGGAGGCUUUUGGAUCGUUCUGUUUUUGGGGCAAUAUCAUGUAUAGUUUAAUGUUACUACGCAAUGAUUCUCAAGGUUGGUAAAGAAGAUAUCGGAGGACAUUCUUACGACUUGUAUGUAAAACUUAGACUUGUAAAGAACUGCAAAUGUAAUUCCUUCAAGAACAAGUAAUACAACGUUUAGAGUUUUACUAAGAAGUACUCUCUCUCCUCUCAAUAUGAUCGACCUUCACACUCGAUCUUUAUUCAUUCCCCCUUCUUCUCACGUGUCGCUCUAGAUCUUUUCUGGCUUCCUUUCUUCUUCUGGCUUGGGCCUCUCCUUUGGUAUUGAUACACAAUCGGUGGCCUCAGGGCCUCAUACAUAACAGACAUGCAGAUUUACUCCAAGAAGAAAAUGCACAAAACGUAAAGGAAAUCGAACUUAAUGAUCCGAGGGUUUAUGUUUUUCUGCUUCGUCAACCUCUGCCCAAACCCAGACAAGGUGUUGCUCGCUUUCUCUAAGCCAUUCGCAGGUGCUCCUCCUCCUUGCCGUCUUUUGCCGUAUGAUUCUUUCAGCCAGUUGGGAUCAGCAGUAUUGUUUCUUUAAGAGUAAAGUGUAGUAAACAAGAUAUAUUUUUUUCAAUUAGAUAGCUUGGAGAUCA